AUUGAACGCUGGCGGCAGGCCUAACACAUGCAAGUCGAGCGGAUGAAGGGAGCUUGCUCCUGGAUUCAGCGGCGGACGGGUGAGUAAUGCCUAGGAAUCUGCCUGGUAGUGGGGGAUAACGUCCGGAAACGGGCGCUAAUACCGCAUACGUCCUGAGGGAGAAAGUGGGGGAUCUUCGGACCUCACGCUAUCAGAUGAGCCUAGGUCGGAUUAGCUAGUUGGUGGGGUAAAGGCCUACCAAGGCGACGAUCCGUAACUGGUCUGAGAGGAUGAUCAGUCACACUGGAACUGAGACACGGUCCAGACUCCUACGGGAGGCAGCAGUGGGGAAUAUUGGGCAAUGGGCGAAAGCCUGAUCCAGCCAUGCCGCGUGUGUGAAGAAGGUCUUCGGAUUGUAAAGCACUGUAAGUUGGGAGGAAGGGCAGUAAGUUAAUACCUGGCUGUUUUGACGGUACCAACAGAAUAAGCACCGGCUAACUUCGUG
rnacentral:rRNA from 1 species